AUACUUACCUGGCAAGAGAGACACCGUGAUCAAGAAGGCGGUUCAUCCAGGGCGAGGCUCAGCCAUUGCACUCCGGCUGUGCUGACCCCUGCGAAUUUCCCAAAUGUGGAAAUCUCGAUUGCAUAAUUUCUGGUAGUGGGGGACUGCGUUCGCGCUCUCCCCUG
rnacentral:snRNA from 8 species